AUGCAGUCGAACGGGAGCCAGAGGAGCUUGCUCCUUGGGUGACGAGUGGCGGACGGGUGAGUAAUGUCUGGGAAACUGCCCGAUGGAGGGGGAUAACUACUGGAAACGGUAGCUAAUACCGCAUAACGUCGCAAGACCAAAGAGGGGGACCUUCGGGCCUCUUGCCAUCGGAUGUGCCCAGAUGGGAUUAGCUAGUAGGUGGGGUAACGGCUCACCUAGGCGACGAUCCCUAGCUGGUCUGAGAGGAUGACCAGCCACACUGGAACUGAGACACGGUCCAGACUCCUACGGGAGGCAGCAGUGGGGAAUAUUGCACAAUGGGCGCAAGCCUGAUGCAGCCAUGCCGCGUGUAUGAAGAAGGCCUUCGGGUUGUAAAGUACUUUCAGCGAGGAGGAAGGGGAUGUGGUUAAUAACCGCAUUCAUUGACGUUACUCGCAGAAGAAGCACCGGCUAACUCCGUGCCAGCAGCCGCGGUAAUACGGAGGGUGCAAGCGUUAAUCGGAAUUACUGGGCGUAAAGCGAACGCAGGCGGUCUGUCAAGUCGGAUGUGAAAUCCCCGGGCUCAACCUGGGAACUGCAUCCGAAACUGGCAGGCUAGAGUCUUGUAGAGGGGGGUAGAAUUCCAGGUGUAGCGGUGAAAUGCGUAGAGAUCUGGAGGAAUACCGGUGGCGAAGGCGGCCCCCUGGACAAAGACUGACGCUCAGGUGCG
rnacentral:rRNA from 1 species